rnacentral:sRNA from 1 species
CCUCUGAGUAAAACAUUUGGGAGGUGUUUCUGUUUCUUGGCCAUGGAGAUCUUUGGGGGCAUCUCAUGCCUUGCGCUCUGUGGGCUUCUUGCCAAAGGUCACAGAAAGCCUGUUGCCCCACACCCAAAUACAGUGGUCGGCCCUUGGCACUAACCGGCCUGUCCUAGUGUUAGCACAGUGCAUCACUGCGUCUUCUGUGAUGCUGUGUUCAGCUGCUCCUGGUGAUUCAUUCUAGACUUUACCUCAUGUCCCAGUGGCUACUUCUGAGUCCGGCUUGCUGAGACUCCUGUCUGAGAUUAUUUCUUCUGCUCAAAAAGAAUACUCAGGAUGUAGCAAUGGAAAUAGAAAACUUCAGGAGUAAACUUGGAUUGGCCUUACCACUCUCUGUGUGUGUUCUGGCAUGCUGGGAGGUCAUGUCUUCUAUAAACAUGUGAGGUGACCACUCUUGGCAUUCUGCAGUCUGGCGCAUUGACAAUCUGGUAGCUGGAUAUGGAUGAAGAACCUGUGGAGAGGGGACAGAAAAGGUGGGCAACUUUUGCAA